AUGUCCGAUCCGGAGAAGGCUCCUCGUUCCCUCGUCUAUCCAUCAGAGUGGGAUGCCAUGACCGCAGAUGAGCAGAUGUUGUGGUUUCUCAAGCAUCUAUCGGCACAGAUGGAUCGUAUCAAGUCCGAGCUCGCGGCUGCACGCGUGGGCGCGGGCGAUCCGGUAGAGGCCACCUCGCGUGUCAAUCCGGUUGCCUCCCCUGCUACUGCUUCGGCUACCUCAACCUCUGCCCUGGUCGCGUCUCACACCGACCGCGCAACCACGGCUGCUCCACCCACCAUCGCCGAGGAGGUCCACUGCACCGCCACCGCAUUCGACCCCAAUCCCGCGAUCGGCACCAACAACGCCAUAGCCACCCUUCGAACGAAUGAAGUGGAAAUUCAGGAGGAGAACCAGGUUGUGGCAACAGCAAUUCAGGCUGUUAGCAUCAACAUCGGCGGCAAGUUCACUACUCCCGCACCUCCACCGGUGGCGUCCUCUCCAGAAGUCUCCACCGAGCCUGCUGUCCUUCCCGACGUUUCCUUGUCAACUGGACAGGCUGAGGAGAUCCUCCAUCAUGUGUCUUCUGAUUACAUCGCUACGACGCUCAUGACCUGUUCGACAGAAUGCUCGAAAAAAUUCAGUGCCAUGUCAUUCUUGUCUCCAGUCAUGACGACGUCGCUACCCCCAGCAGCCACACUUGUGCUCGUCGCCGACCUCAUUCACCCUGCUACCAACGAUGGUUCUAACCGGCGGGUGCCCCUGGACAUGGAAGACGAGCUCCUGACCAGUCUAUCUCCUCUGUCGUUCUCAAUUGUAGAUUCAACGCAGUCGUUUCUGAACCAGGACAGGGACGUCCCGUUUCCCACAAGGCACGAGGGGCUGCUGAUACGACCGACUCCGUGGCCAUCAUUUCAGAUGCAUUUUGCUGACGGCAAUGAUGUAAGGCCCGUGCCGUGGCCGUCGUUUGCUGGUUCUCUUGAAGGCACGACUCUGAAUUAUGAAGGGCUGUUGUUGCAAGUUACUUAUGUGGUGCAGCGUUUGCCGGUUGCUUUGAAUUUUUUGAGAGAAUACUGGAGGUAUCUACCAAGUGUGCGACUGAAAUCUUGUCCCUAUGAGAAGCUUGCUGGUUGGACCCCUAUGCUGCCAAAAGCAAUUCCCCUUCGGAAUCAGCAGAUAAUCCAAUCACUGGGUGAGGUGAAUUGGGGCGUUGUGGAGUGGUGGUCAGUGAUCUCUUUUGUACAGUCAUUUGCUCCUACUAUUCAUGUGUCCUGUAUAGUCUUCUCUAGCCAUGAGUUGAUGAGGAAGCCUAUGCUACCCUGGAGGCUUGUCGUUCAUAUUGUGGCCAUGGAGGACGAGCUCCUCACCACUCUAUCUCUGAUAUUCUCAGCUGUCGAUUCAAAGCAGCCAUUCCUGAGCCAUGAUUUGGACGUUUCGCCGCGUACAAGGCACCAGGGGCUGCUGCUACAGCCGAUGUCGUGGCCAUCAUAUUGGGCAGCUCUUAUUGUAGAGGGAAUGGAAACCCGACCCAUUCCAUGGCCGCCGUUUGCAAUCGGUUUGCCAUCAAAAGUCUGA
rnacentral:rRNA from 1 species